AAAAGUUUUAUUAUUAUUUUAAGGGGUUAGAUUAAGUUUUUAUUUACAUGUAAAUGUUAGUAUGAAUUAAAGUUAUUAUUUAAAUAAUGUGAUAAUUAGGGGUUAUUCACAGUAAAAAAUUUUAAAUAUUAAUGAAAAUUAGAUUUGGGGAAAAUUUAUAGUAUUAACAAAAUUUGUGCCAGCAGUUGCGGUUAUUCAGAUAAUACAAUUUAAUUAGAUUUAGUAUUAAUAUGUAAUAAAUUAAUAAAUUUUAAGGGGAAGUUUAUUAAGUGAAAUUUUUAAGUUUUAGGGGAAUUUAUUUGUGAUUAUUAGUUAAGAAAUUUAAUUUAUAGACUAGGAUUAGAUACCCUAUUAUUAUAAAUGUGAAGAUAGAUACUAGAUUAGUAUUAGUUAAAAUCUUGAAAAUUGAAGAUUUUGGCGGUUUUUUAGUCUAUUCAGAGGAACCUGUUCUAUAAUCGAUAAUCCACGAUUUUUGAAACUUUUUUUAAUAGUUUGUAUAUCGUCGCAGUUUGAAUAUUUUAAAAGAAAUUAAAUUUUCAAUAUUUAUUUUUUAAGAAAAAUCAGAUCAAGGUAUAGUUUAUAAAAAAGUAGAAAUGGGUUACAUUAAUUUUAAUUUUGAAUUAUUUAUUUAAAAUGAAUAUGAAUUUGGAUUUGAAUGUAAUUUUGUUUAGAUUAAUAAAAUGAUUAUAGCUCUAAAAUAUGUACAUAUUGCCCGUCGCUUUCAUUUUAAGGUGAAAUAAGUCGUAACAAAGUAGGUUUACUGGAAAGUGCGUCUAGAAAGCAA
rnacentral:ncRNA from 1 species